UCAAUGGGCUUGACGUUCGAAGCCCAUUGGGCCUUAAGGCCCAAAACUAACCCUAGGUCUUUUAACGAAUUUUAUUUGUUUGAUUAAUUAACAUAUUAAUUAAUCCUUGCCAUAAAUAAUUAAACCAUUUAAUUAUUCUUACUCAUCUCCGUUGUUUCUUCAAUCUUUACCUUACACGGUGUACGAUCCAUUAGGUUCCUUUUAGCGAGGCAGUGGGCGAUUAGAACUCUUUCAAAUCGAUUAUGAAUUGAAACUUACUUUCAAUUCUCCCUUUAGUGAUUAUACACGUUUAGGGCUUCCACAAACCAUGAGUGACACCUAGCAGUAUGUCAUGGUUACCCAAGCUAAUCAGAAGAGGUGGGGAACCUAUUCAGUUUAGGAUUACAAUGCAAUACGGUCUUUUUCUAAUACAAUACUCUUGACCACAUUGUUUGGAUUGAUAGUUUAUUCAUGUCUACUAUCCAAUGUGAUUCAUUUACUUAUAUGAUUACCUUGAAUGUGAUUUGGAAUGACUUCCUAAAUCUCAUUCAUACUCUGGCCAGAGAUUCUUAAUCAUAUCAUAGAGUAUUCUCCUUCAAACGGUUUGAAGGUUAGAGAUCCCUUGUUGCGCAUUCACUUGCCUCCAUGGCUAAGUGGCUUGACUCCAACUAGGUCGUGGACACCCUCUGAUGGAGUGACUUUGACAUAGUCAAAGAUCAAGGACUUAACCACAAGACAACUAUGAUGCCUCAGGUCAAAUGACUACUUUGCAUUAUCCCAGCCAUGAGUUCUCAUGUGACAUGAGUAUGAGAACUCCUCGUUGAUUGUGUUCAGUGGACUCAUUCGCUAUUGAGCACCUACAUGCUUGUUUUGGUGUCAAUCGCACCAAUGACUCGAGACCAGUCACUCUCCAUGAGAGAAGACACAGCACGUACUAAUCUUAACGGACUGUCAAUGCCCAAUUGGCAAUCCUAUGAUCAGGAACGUUUAGGAUAUGUAUAUGAAAGAGAAUGGUCUCAUAAAUCUAACUUGUUUAAAUUACAUUCUCCUAAUUACAUAUUCCUUGGACUUAUCGUUUAAGCAUAUAACAUUUAUAUGAGACGGCUUAAAACAAUAAUCUUUGCCCUUGAUAUUAAACUAGAUUAGUUUAACAUGUGAAAUGUCUGUAAAGUAUCAUCACAUGAUUGGUUUUAGGGCAUAUUUCCAACAAUCUCCCACUUGCACUAGAGCCAAUCAGCUUGGUCAUCAGUGAUGAUACCUCUUAUUUAGUCAUUUCAAAAAUGGCUAAGUAGUAGGCCUAGACAAUGGAUAUCUAUAUGUUAUCCAUAGAAGCAACCUUGAGAAUAACGACGUCACCAUUAUACAUGAUUCUCAAUCAUGUGGUUCAAUCUCUCAUUUGAGUUCGAAUCUUGAUGAGACCUUGAUUCCCUGGCUUGAGCUAUCGCCCCAUUAGUGUCGUAGUGUCGGUACACUAGAGACACUUUCUGGUUGGAACCGAAUAGAGAGUUCAUGAAUGAACUUUCUCAUCCAAACAACAUUGUUGUAAGCUUCUAUAUGGCAAUAUAUUUUGCAUUCACAAUGGAACACACUAAAGUCAUUACUUUUAAUGUUUCCAUCCAAAUAUCUCUUUAGUCAUAAUAAAGAGAUAUCUGAUUAUCUCUUCAUUCAUAAUGAAAAACAUCCAAUGAUGGAUUAGAUUCAUAAUCUAAUACAUUUACGCUUCCAUUACGUUAUUCUAAUUCUUCCUCAUUCUGUGAGGAAUCUAUCCUUUAGUAUUUCUUAAAUACUUAAGGACUCACUUGACAUUUGCCAUGGUUCUGAUCCUGGGCUUGCACUAAUAUCGUCUUGUACCUUUCUAGGUACAACUCAUAUCAAUGUUUUCAUACAAUAUGAAAUACAUAAAUCACCUUUCUGCGUAUGUAUAAAGGAUUCUAUUUACGCAUUAUUUCUUUGGGAGUCAAAGGGUAUGUUCCCUUUGAGAAGAGCUACCUCCUAGUCUUACUAGCGUUGUUCUUCUGAUUGAAGUUUAUCAUCAUAUGAGAAACUUCCUAGCAUCUUUUGUCUAUCAUUAGGGCUUGAUAUAAUCCAAUUAUAUCCUGAAAUCUAUCAUUAUAGAUUUACAUCCCAUGUUUAUAGACUAUGUCUCCCAUAUACAUUCUAUCGUUGUAGAAUGUUUAAAGUUAUAACUUUAACGAAGAAGUAUUCUUUUUCAUUUCCAAAAUUAAUAUAUCAUAUAUUUGUAUAUAUAUAUUCAAAUUUAGGAACAUGAUUAACUCCCACUAAUCUUUUGUAAACCUAGUAAACAAAAGAUUCAUUUACAUCUUUAUGAGAAAUCAAACGAUUUGAUCUUUCUCUCAUAAGACAUUUAUAUAGCUCCCACUAGCUUGCUAAGAUCCAUGAUGGAUGGAUCUCUACAACUUACAUGUCUUGUGAUUCAUAGUUUUAGACAUAUAUUAUCAAGACUAUCUUAAUAAUGGUUUCGGAAACCCAUAUUUUGUCCAAACAUUGAAUCACCAUUUAGUUAUAACUAGCAAUCUUCGAAUUAAUUGAAACCAAGACUACGUCAAAGAUGGUUUCUUCCAAGUCAACCAAUCUCUUUAAUUGUAGUCACCUUAAGCUACCAAUUAGCUAUAAAGGUUUCAUUAUUUCGGGUCAAAUGGUACUUUACCAUUUCCUUGAGUAUAUGUCGUAUAUGAACUUAAUGUAGUCAUAAGGAUUUUCAUUCUUAUUUCUUUCGAAUUAAGAGGUGUAACUCUAUGACAUAGUCAUAAAGUUCAAACCAUUCAACUGAGACAGUUUAUAAAUCCUUCUCGACUACCUUGGAGCUUGUGUCGUAGGAACUAGGUUGUUAUAUUUGUUGAUUAUCAUCUUGUCUCUCAAAGAACCCAUUCUUUGAGUUCUAUCUCUCAUUCAUUUGCGUUAGGCAAAUCAUAUUGUAGGAUUACAAUGAACUACCCAACAAACAACAUUUGUUAGUUGGUUUAUAGAAGUGAUAUUCAAAUGUUAAUUUAAGGAUACCCACAAGAUAAUUCUUUAAAAAAAUAUUGCUUAUUAGCACACAAUCCCAAAUCUUAACAUGAUUAAGAUUUGUCUUUCUUUCCAACUAUAUCCUAUGGACUCAUGAAAAUUUUGGAAGAUCUUCUAAUUGACAAUCAUAUUGUCUUAGAAUUAUAUAUCCUAUAUAUGGGCAAUUGAUAACAUCCAACGAACUAAAUCUUAUUUCGAGUUCGUUCUUCUCUUAAUGGAGAAAUCCAUUAUCAUAUGAUGCUUCUUUCCUUGAUAUCUUUUAAGGAAACUGUUCUAAAGUGUUACCUUUCCUUGGAUCAAAUAUAAGGAGGUAAAUACUUUAGACAUCUUACUCAUCAACUUACAUUUCUUGAAUUCUUUGAAACCUUUUGCAAAGUAUUCGGACUUGUGUUUAUUCAAAAAAAUGAUAGUCCAACGAGAGCGAUCUUCGGUGAAUGUCAUACAACAUGAGUAGUAUUAUGUUGUGGACAAGUGCCACUAACAUCUAAGUGAAUUAACCUCAACACUUUGUGAAAUAUAUAAGCACACAAAAAACCCUCUUUUGUCAAAUUGUAGUAAAGAUGUAAGUAGGGAUCGUUCUAGACCGGGGAUUAGGAGGGAUUGCUAAACACUUGGAAAACUGACUUAAAACUCAAAAACAAAGUUUAAAACACUAAACUAGACUCAAAGAAUGCAAAACUAAAGGUUAAAAAACACUUAAACAAACCUAAAACUCAAAACAGCAACCUAAUGACUCAAAACUGCCUAAAAACCACUUUCUGGGCAGUUUUGAGAACCUAACAAGAACUUGGACGAAUUUGGAUGAAAACUUGAAUCAAAACACUUAGAAACACAAAUCAAAACACUUUCUAACUAAUCUA
rnacentral:lncRNA from 1 species